GACGAACGCUGGCGGCGUGCCUAAUACAUGCAAGUUGAGCGCUGAAGGUUGGUACUUGUACCGACUGGAUGAGCAGCGAACGGGUGAGUAACGCGUGGGGAAUCUGCCUUUGAGCGGGGGACAACAUUUGGAAACGAAUGCUAAUACCGCAUAAAAACUUUAAACACAAGUUUUAAGUUUGAAAGAUGCAAUUGCAUCACUCAAAGAUGAUCCCGCGUUGUAUUAGCUAGUUGGUGAGGUAAAGGCUCACCAAGGCGAUGAUACAUAGCCGACCUGAGAGGGGGAGCGGCCACAUUGGGACUGAGACACGGCCCAAACUCCUACGGGAGGCAGCAGUAGGGAAUCUUCGGCAAUGGACGAAAGUCUGACCGAGCAACGCCGCGUGAGUGAAGAAGGUUUUCGGAUCGUAAAACUCUGUUGGUAGAGAAGAACGUUGGUGAGAGUGGAAAGCUCAUCAAGUGACGGUAACUACCCAGAAAGGGACGGCUAACUACGUG
rnacentral:rRNA from 1 species